rnacentral:lncRNA from 1 species
GUUGAAGCUGUCUCAGAUAACGAGGUAGAUUCUGAUAGUGAUGAUGAUAUUGUUGGUGAAGUUGUAUAUGAUGAAGAAUAUCUAAGGAAACGGAAGCAGAGGAAAACGUCGAGCAGCUCAGAAGGAGAUGAAGAAUAUAUAGGGGAUGAAGAAAAUCCCGAAGAGGAGGAAGAUAUCUUGAGUACAAGCGAGGAGAGUGAUGAGCCCCAUAAAUAUAAAAACAAAAUGUUGCCAUCCCGCACCAGGAGGGAAACCAAAUUGAGGUCAGUCGAUGAGCUACAGUCUGGUCUCAGACGCAGUAAAAGGGCAACCAGAACUCGUAUUGAUUAUAGACAGAUUGAGAUGUCUGAAUCAGAAACUGAAUUAAUGAAACCUGAGAAGUCAAAUGCAUUAGACGAGCACCCAACUGCUAGUGAUAAUGAAGAGUUCUCAACGGGAAGUCGAGAUUCAGAUUCGAGCAACGAAAAGCUUGAGAUGCAUGUUGAUCAGCCUGCUGAGGAGCAUCCUGAGACAAAUGAUGAGCAAACGCAUCCACCAGAAAAAUCAAAUGAGACAGAUCGAGACAAAGUUGGUGUACCGAAAAAGCAUUUUCUUGAUCUCAAUGAGCUCGCUCCUGGCUCUGGCUUUGACGAUAUUCCCAACUCUAUGAAAGACGAAGAUAAAGACAAUUUCUAAAGCCCGUCCACCAAAAUGCAAUGAUUGUACGUUCUCUCCCAGAGAAAUUGAUUUGUAUGCUAGGUAACUUAUAAACUGUGGUAAACCCACUCUACAGUGACUAUUAAAAGAGUUCCUAGGCGAAAUUUGAACGUUUAUCUCAGUUUCAUUCUGUAGAAUUGGCGUCGAGCAAAAUUAUAUAGUUUCGGAUAUUCUUAGUAUGUCUUGAUUCGACAGAAAACAAAUGAAGAUGUGUGGAUGGGAAAUUUGUUGUACUGUACAUUAACCUUUUUUAACUGAUUUCAGCAAAAGAAUUUUCUCUAUGAUGCUCUCUACUCUUGGCUUCACAUUUUCCAUGGUAUGAUUCAAUUGUCCAUGUAUGUAAACGCUGAUUUGGGCUGAGUUUUGUCGAUUGUAUAAUCAUGUUUAGAACUCAUUCGUUUGAAACUUUUUAUCCUCUUUUAGUUUCAUUCUCAGACGCAGUAAAAGGGCAACCAGAACUCGUAUUGAUUAUAGACAGAUUGAGAUGUCUGAAUCAGAAACUGAAUUAAUGAAACCUGAGAAGUCAAAUGCAUUAGACGAGCACCCAACUGCUAGUGAUAAUGAAGGGUUCUCAACAGGAAGUCGAGAUUCAGAUUCGAGCAACGAAAAGCUUGAGAUGCAUGUUGAUCAGCCUGCUGAGGAGCAUCCUGAGACAAAUGA